rnacentral:lncRNA from 1 species
UCCAAAUAAAACCGUCAUAAACUGUGAAAGCCAAAGGAAAUGAAGAAAUCUCGAAAGCGGCCAGAGAAAACGACACAUUACAAGCAGGAGAAUAAAAAUUUGAUUGCAGUUUUCUCACAGAAACCACAGAGCCCAGAACGAAAAGAUCGCUCAGCUCAGAUUCUGGAUGCCAUGAAAACGUCCUGCAGGAACGAAGUAAGAUAAAGACCUUCUCAGACGAAGGAAAACUAAGACGUUUCGUUGCCAACAGACCUGCUGUAAAAUCAGUGUUAAAGGAAGUUCUUCAGAUAGAAGGGAAAUGAUCCCAGAGAGAAGUUAGAAUUUCGGAAAUGAAGGAAGAGCAGCAGAAAUGGUGAACAUCCUAGUGAAUACGACAAACUACUCUUCUACUAAGCUUUGACAGCACGUACGACGACUGAGAGCCGAAACUAUAACGCACUUGGGGAUGGGGGCGCUUAAUGGUGGAGACAGAACAUAAAUGAUGCACAUAUAAGAUGGGGAGACUGAGGCAGAAAAGGAAAGUUGCUACAUGCUCAAGACCCCACAGCAAAGCACUGUUAGAACCAGGCCUGGAACCACAUCUCCCAUGGUGAAGUCGAAGCGCUGGGGCCCUCCCCGGUCCCCCUGCCUACCGUGGAGCAAGAUUCCAUGUCCAGCUGUCCUCCAGGACUGUCAAUAACUGGCACAUGGAGAAACUAAAGCAUCGAGAAGUUAAGAAACGUGCCCAAGGUUAUACAUCUAAUAAGUCUUGGCUGUGGAAUUUGAACCCAGAUCUGGCUCUAGCAUCUAAGUUCCAGACCCUCGCUGUCCUCUCAGGAAGACCAAUCCAGAGUAGAACUUUCUAAGACAUUCCGUGGUCUGGAGGAAAAUAUGCCCUGGCUGCUGCUAAGCCGUAUCCCACACCCCCAGAAGCAUUUCUAACCAGGGGAAAUUGGUUAUUGAGCAUACAGAGGGCAGUUGUGAAGGAAAAAAUGAGAAGGUAGGAGCUGACAAGAGACCCCAGGUGCCUGAGAGGCGGUGAAGAGAGGGGAGGCACUGUUGCUAAGCAACCGACCUGAGAGGGGUCCUCCCAUCCUCU